GCUUCAGCUAUGUGGCAAAGGGAGGAGGGGUGUCGGUACAACAGCAUGAUUGUUCUUCUUCUUCUUCUUCUUCUUCAGUCGUGGAGUGGAGUUGAGAGCCAGGAGAAGUGCUCAUAUUUCGCAGCAGCCAAGCUCUGAACAGUGGCGCCAUUGAUUUCCACCAACAGUAGCUAGGUGGCUGCAGUCCAGUCAUUGGAAGAAGGACAGAGGAGGAGUUUGAAAAGUAAACAUCAUUUGGCUUGACACAUGCUCACAAAGGCCUCUUUCUGUCUCUCCAUCCCCACACUCUAGUGAAGACAGAAGCAAAGUUUUGGAUGCAGGUUGUAUGUUGGCUGCUGUGCCUUGGCCUGGCAGGGGCACUUGCUGUGCUGCAGAAGGACCAGGUGGCACAACAUGCCAUCAAACUUUAUCGGAGUAAGGGGGCCACACACGGCCACAGCUGGGUGGCAAGCAAUUGCAAGCGGCUGGUGGGCCUCCUGCGUCAAAAGAAUGUGGUUGUCAAGAAACUGGCAGUCGCUGCGGAUGCUGUUGGACGAGACAGAGCCCUUUCAGAUCCAGAGAGGCACUUCCAGGUUCACACCCUGGAGGUUUUUCAGAAGGAGCUGAAUGAGAGCGAGCACUUGGUGUUCCAGGCAGUGCACAGCCUGCAGAGAGCGCUGCAGGGAGACUACAAGGAUGUGGUCAACAUGAAGGAGAGCAGCAGACAGAGGCUGGAGGCCCUCAGAGAGGCAGCCAUAAAGGAGGAGCAGGAGUAUGUGGAGCUGGUGGCCGCUGAGAAGCACCAACAGGAGGCUCUUAAUAGGGCACUAGCCCAGAACAAAACUCUGUCCUUGCUGGAUGAGAUCCUGGAGGAUGUCCGGAAGGCAGCAGACCGGCUGGAAGAGGAGAUCGAGGAGCACGCCUUCGACAACAACAAACAGAUGAAAGGAGUGAAUGUGGAGGCAGUGCUGAGAGUGGAGGACGAUGAGGAGAAUGGAGGGAAGAGGAAGAACAAGUCCAAGCAGAAGGAAGUGGAAGAUGACCUGGGAUUGAGCAUGCUCAUUGACUCGCUGAACAACCAGUAUGUCCUGACCAAACCACGAGAUUCUACAAUGCCAAGAGCAGACCAUCAUUUCAUCAAGGAUUUGGUGUCAGUGGUCAUGCUGUCCCUGCCCUGUGGUUGGAUUUGCACUCUGGUGGGUCUUCCUCCCAUGUUUGGAUACAUCAUCUGUGGGGUCCUGCUUGGUCCUUCUGGCCUCAACAGCAUCAAGUCUAUGGUCCAGGUGGAGACUCUGGGGGAGUUGGGUGUGUUCUUCACCCUCUUUGUGGUGGGAUUGGAGUUCUCACCUGAGCGCCUUCGAAAGGUGUGGAAGACGUCAGUUCAGGGUUCGUGCUACCUGAGUCUGCUCAUGAUUGGCGGCGGUUUGUUAUGGGGACAAGUCCUGCGUAUCCGACCCACCCAGACUGUCUUCAUCUCCACCUGUCUCUCCCUGUCCAGUACUCCAUUAGUGUCCCGUUUUUUAGCAGGGGGCAGCAGAGGGGAUAAGGAAGGUGACUUGGACUACAGCAGCGUUCUCCUCGGGAUGUUGGUGAUGCAGGACGUUCAGCUCGGCCUCUUCAUUGCGGUCAUGCCCACUCUGAUCCAGGCGCAGAGCGGAGACUUGGACAGCAGCUUCCUGUUUGGAAGUCUCCGCGUGCUGUAUCUCCUGGCUCAGGUCCUGGUAUCUCUGGCUGCUGUGCUGCUGCUGUGUGCACUACUCAAAUCAUUUGUGAUCGGCCCCUAUUACAAGAAACUGCACGCUGAGAGCAAAGGAAACAAGGAGAUCCUGGUGCUGGGGAUGGCAGCUUUUGUCUUUUUCAUGCUGUCGGUGACAGAGUUUCUGGACGUUUCUAUGGAGCUGGGCUGUUUCCUGGCUGGAGCUUUGCUGUCCACCCAGGGUCACAUGGUCACCACAGAGGUCAUGGGAUGCAUCGAACCCAUCAGAGAUUUCCUCGCCAUCAUCUUCUUCGCCUCUAUCGGUCUCCACGUGUUCCCUACGUUCGUGCUGUAUGAACUCACCAUCCUGCUGGUCUUAACACUCACACUCGUCAUUAUGAAGUUCGUGAUGGCUGUUCUGGUGCUGUCAGCGAUCUUACCUCCGAGCUCCCGACACAUUCGGUGGAUUGUCUCGGCUGGUCUGGCGCAGGUCAGCGAAUUCUCCUUUGUCUUGGGCAGCCGUGCGCGUCGGGCUGGCAUAAUCUCCAGAGAGGUGUACCUGCUGGUUCUCAGUGUCACCACUCUCAGUUUGCUGCUGGCACCAGUGUUGUGGAGAGUUACCACACACAAAUGGGUUCCCCGGGCCGAACGCAAAACUGUCACAUGACUAGACUGUUUUCAGGGCCAAAAGGUUACCAAGUAAUCUCAGCAACAUGACAAGAGGGAGACAAAAGCCCCUUGCAGUAUGUUAACACACUCGACAAUGUGACAUGGCCUUUUUCAUGUGUGGACCAAAUGUUCGUCCUUUACUUCUUGCUUUGACAGACACCAAAACCUAAAUUACUGGACUGACUAAUUGGGGUAAAGAAAUAGUGGUGGGAAAGAGAAACACAGUAUAUGCAUCAUCUGCAAAUUGAUCUUUUCAACAGCUACGAUUUAAAUAAUUCCCUGCCCAUUUAUCACACAGAGAAAAACACUUCCUUUGUAACCAGGGCCAUCCAUGUUACUUUGCUACAUUUACAUCUGUAUGCACUGUAGAAAGGACAUAGAUAUACAUUCUACCAUGUUAAAUUUAUGUCUAUCAAAACACAACAUGAAUCAACCCCAACAAUCUUGAAGGCUUUAAAAUGUGAGUUUUAACCUGCAGUGCGGGAGUUUUCCUUAUAAAUGACCGUCCGUUACUGUCCGCCCAUCAAACAAGUUCACACAAUACUGAUUAAGCACUGAUCACCACCAGAUUGUUUUCUCUGUAAUUUACAGUACACUGAGUUUUUAAAUCUUUCCUGUACUAGAAGAGCUGGAAGAGCACAUUCCUGUGCCAGGAAAUAGGCUACAAAUAGAUAAUUAUCUCAUCUGAUGACUCUAUCUGUCCCCCCCUCUGCCCUUAAUAGUGGGUGGGGGAGUGGGGUCACUGGUAUGCAGGCACCAACAGCAUCAACAGUGUUUAUGUAAUUAUUUACAAUUCCAGAGGGGGGAGACAAAAGUCCCACACUUCAGCUUUAAAGCAUACUUUGAUUUGAAACACGUCUGUCUGACAGUUCAGUGGAGAAGCACAAAACACUCCUUCAGCUCUGAUGCUUUUGACUCUAAAAACUGUGCAUGAAGUGUGCAAAAGGAAAAACUAAAAAAUGUUAAAUGUGUUUUCCAUCUCCACCAUUUGCAGCUCCUCAACAUAUAAAUAAUUUAGUUUUCUAUUGGCACUCGUUCUGUCCGCACUUCCACAAAUUAACCUUUUCCUUGUCACAUGGACCAACUCUGAGGGUCUAACUUAACUCCAUAUAUUAUUUCUUUUUUCAAGUAAAGUGUUUAUUUUUAUGUAUACAUACAUGUUUUUUUUAAUAGGGAAGCGCCUUUAUAUGAUAUAAAAAUAGCCUCCAUCUUCUCUCCUGAUAUUUACCAUACUCAAAUAUAGUUUGUUGCAGGUGGUAGACUGACUCUGAUUUAAGUUCAAACCUUCUAUCAGCUGUAUUUAAUAGAUGAUGUUUAUAGUUUAUUUUGAUCAUUGUAAUACUGUGAAUUUUGUUGUGAUGACACAUCCUAGUGUUACCAUAAAAACUACAAUUAUAACUAUAAACAGCUUUAUUUAGUUACUGUUGGAGGCGCUCAUUUCUUGUCAAAUCUAAGAAAAUGAUGGUACAAUGCACAUCAGUAAAAAAGGAACGGAGAUAAGUGAAAACUAUGUUAGGUAGCAGCUGACAAGAACUACAGAAAAUACUUCAUCUGCUGAUGUAACAUUAACAGAAAAAGAUAAAUCUUGCACUAGUUACCGUUGAAUGUCAAACUGAUGUGCCUGCUCAGCUCCUCACUGCACUACAAAUAAGACAAGAGCAAUCUCAUUGCGAGUGAGCACUUCUGUGGCAUCUUGUGCUGUAAAUGUCCUUGUCUAAUCUUUCAUAAUUUGCAAUGUAAAUGUGUGUAGUUACAUGCUGUUUGUUAUUUUAUGUUUAAUAUUAUUUUUAUGAAGUAUGUUAACAGGAAGAGGAAUUUGAGUUUACAUGUUUGUGUUGGUGGCCGUGACUGAAGCUUCCACUUACAAAGAAAUGCUGUCCUGAUCAAAUGAUGUUCUCUUGGGAGACCAGAUGUAACUUCCUCAAUACUGUUUCACCCGCAGCGCGCUGUUGACACAGAAGACCAUUAUUACACAGACGUGCUGUUCAUCUGCAGGAUGUUUCACAAACUCUGCCUCAGUAU